UUUUGUAUUUUAAUGUACGUUAGUAAAUUAAAAUAAGAAAAAAAUAGGAAUUAGUCCGGGAUUUUUUGAUUUACUACAAUUGAAGAAUAAGUUAAAUAAUAUACAGUGAUCGAUCGGAUUACCAUAAACCACUCAAUUACUCACAAAAUAAAUACAAUAAUGGGAAAAUAAUUUUUGAUUUCUUUCAGUUAAAUAUAAUUCAUGAUUUAUCAGCUUAUAAUUAAUUUUUAGGAACAUCCCUUAUAUCUUGGAGGGAUGUCAACUUAAUUUUUUGAAGUAGUAACAUACAUAUUUAACUAGCUUAUAAAAUAGAAAAUAAUCUAUUUAAAAAAAUUAUUUGCACUUUUGAUCCAAUACUUCAGUAUUUAUUAACAAUUUGAAGUAUUGACUGGUGGUGAGGAAUGGGUGAUGUUAUUUUUAUCACUUCGUCCCGUUCACUUAUAAAAAUGGAAAUAAUAUGCAAUGUACUAGUCCAAAAGCUGUUAUGCACCAGUAAUUUUCUUAAUUAGAUAAUUUCCUAUAAGCUAGUUAAAUUUUAUAAUAUCAAUUUAAAAAAAGUUGACUCUCCUAUAAAUUAUAAGGGAUGAUCCUAAAAAUUAAUUAAUAGCUAAUAAAUUAAGAAUUUUAUGUAACUACAAGAAAUCAAAAAUCAUAUAUUUUAUUUAUUUUGCGAGUAAUCUAGUGGCUUAUGAUAAACCGAUCAUUCUGUAUACUAUCCAUUCUAUCGGGAUUUAUGGUUUGACGUUUUGGAGUAGAGAAAUAGAGAUUAAAAUAGGGUAGAUAUUUAAUACAUAUUAACCUUUAAUAUAGCAGUGAAUAUUAUUAUUUCACUUAUCGUUUUACUUGAAAUAAAUAAGUAAUAUAAGUACCAUAACACGGUCGGGUAUAGAAAGAGUACCGGAAAUCAUAAGAAAAAAAGAGGCACGGUACGGGAUUAGAACCCGCGACCCAAGGCGUCGUAUAGACAAACCUUACCACUAGGCCACCGUGCACUUAUAAUUCAGCUUCCGAUACACUUGCAUUUAGGUUGAUAACGUGAUGUGCGGCUGAGGGAAACACGGUACCGUGUCAACCAUUAGGAAAAUUAAAUAAAUUUUAACACUGACGCGUAUCCAAUUUGGUACAGUAGGAAGUGUACAAACGCACACUAAGAAUUAAUGAACCAAACUUACAAAAAAAAAAACUAAUAGAAAAUAAAUGUAGUCAAGACAAGUUUUUUUUAAGUAAACACGGCCGCAGUGGCCAGUUUAUAAUUAUUUAACAGCUAACAUGUAGUGUUCAAAAGUUAUGUGUGUAGCCCGGUCAAGCUCCACGUAGCUUGAAAUCGCAUUACCCCUCUCAUUGUAAUGAUAACCAUCGUGUCCGGCACUACCAGCAUCUUGCUGUCAUUACGUUUGUGUCCGCGGUUGACGUUAUAUCGAACCGUUGAGUCCAAUGACUCGUAGCCAGUGAGCUGGCAUAGUUUUCUUUUAUUGGGUUUGUGUCGGCCUGUAUAAGCCGUGUGGUUAUUGAAGACUCAGUCCAUAUUUGGAGUUGGUGUUCUUAGUGUACUCACACCGGUGAUGUUUCCUUUUCUGUGGUUCGUCGAGUUAGUGCGUCUUAUCACUAUAAAGCUAAUCGUGACACUAAGGAUUGUUGGCGUCGGCCAAGAGGUAUUGUUGUGGAAAUCUCAAGCAUUGCGAUAUCACGCGGCUGAAGAAGUGUCAAGUGGCUGGGUGAUGUAACUCCAUUUUUUUAUUACUUAAUGUUCUUAAUGUUAACGUUAGUAAUAUUCCCUCAUAAUGAUGACANAGAAUAUGAAGAUGAAUUAAAUAGUCAAUUAAAUGAUUCAUUUUCAGACAUGAAUUUAUCAAUGGCAUAAUUAUUUUUUAAAUGUAUAAAACUAAAAUAUUCAUAUUUAUAUAUCAAUGUAAUCGUAUAACAAUUAAUAAUAAAUAAUGACUAAUUUUA